GUCUUCGUGGCUCAGUUGGUUAGAGCGUUGGUCUCAGUAUCCAAAGGUCGUGAGUUCGAGUCUCACCGAGGACA